AUUGAACGCUGGCGGCAGGCCUAACACAUGCAAGUCGAGCGGGGUUUUCGGACCUAGCGGCGGACGGGUGAGUAAUGCGUAGGAAGCUGCCCGAUAGAGGGGGAUACCAGUUGGAAACGACUGUUAAUACCGCAUAAUGUCUACGGACCAAAGUGUGGGACCUUCGGGCCACAUGCUAUCGGAUGCGCCUACGUGGGAUUAGCUAGUUGGUGAGGUAAUGGCUCACCAAGGCGACGAUCUCUAGCUGGUUUGAGAGGAUGAUCAGCCACACUGGAACUGAGACACGGUCCAGACUCCUACGGGAGGCAGCAGUGGGGAAUAUUGGACAAUGGGCGCAAGCCUGAUCCAGCCAUGCCGCGUGUGUGAAGAAGGCCUUCGGGUUGUAAAGCACUUUCAGCGAGGAGGAAGGGGUAGUCGUUAAUAGCGGCUACUUUUGACGUUACUCGCAGAAGAAGCACCGGCUAACUCUGUGCCAGCCGCCACCGUAACAC
rnacentral:rRNA from 1 species